CCUCGGCGGUCAGAAAUUAGCCAUCAACGUUAGCGCCAGGGGAUCUUCUCCUGCUCCUCAACCUUCUUCUCCGGCCCCUCAGCCCAGCGGUAGUACUCCCUCUCCGGUUCCUGCACCAGCACGGACACCGACACCGGCACCAGCACCAGCACCAGAACCAGCAACAACACCUACGCCAGCACCAGCAUCAGCACCAACACCAACACCGAGAUCAGCACCAACACCAGCUCCCACAAGACAGCCAGCGACUCAUGUUGUUGGAGGUGCUCUAGGAUGGACUGUCCCUCCCAACGCUUCUGUGGGUUACCAGAAUUGGGCUCGCAACAACAACUUUUCGGUCGGAGACAUU
rnacentral:lncRNA from 1 species